UACGGAGGGUGCAAGCGUUAAUCGGAAUUACUGGGCGUAAAGCGCACGCAGGCGGCUUGUUAAGUCAGAUGUGAAAUCCCCAGGCUCAACCUGGGAACUGCAUCUGAUACUGGCAAGCUUGAGUCUCGGAGAGGGGGGUAGAAUUCCAGGUGUAGCGGUGAAAUGCGUAGAGAUCUGGAAGAACACCCGUGGCGAAGGCGGCCCCCUGGACGGAGACUGACGCUGAGGUGCGAAAGCGUGGGGAGCAAACAGG
rnacentral:rRNA from 1 species